AUGCUUUACGACACGCACAAGGGUAUUUUUGCAUCGGAGGUGGAUGAUGUUGUUGGCAAGUUUGGACAGUGUUUAAAGGGAUUGCAGUGCAACCGGAUGGCAGCCCUCCUUCGUGAUGUUGGAGACGCCAUCACAGCUACCAGUGAGCCCAACUUCUCCUUUGAAGCACCUAUCAUGGACGAAUGUCGCGGAAAAGAGAAUGAUGGUAAAGCUGCAAAUGCUGGCAUUGGUGCUCAAGCUCAAGCUGAAGAUACAACACCUAGCAUUAACAAGGAUGAAGUCACCGGAUUGAAGCAACAAGUUGCAACCGAGGCUGCUGAAACUCCUGAGCAACAACGAGUGAGUUUCGAUAUGGAAGGCAACGUCUCACCUCACAGCCCCCCACUCUUCUAUGAUGCACCUAGGAGUGCGACAGCUGGCAUUUGGGACGACGAGCCAUCCUGUGAGUUGUUCCCAAAGGGCUCCGAAGAGUACGAGAUGAUGCAUUGCACGGAUGAGCCUAUAACCAAGAAGAGGGCAGUCAGCCCCAUAUUUGAAAACAUCCCCGUGUUCCCUGUUUCAGACGAUGAUGACAGCCCAAAUGGUCGCUACAGAAGAGCAAAUUGUUGA
rnacentral:rRNA from 1 species